GCGUAAGCGCACGCAGGCGGUCUGUCAAGUCGGAUGUGAAAUCCCCGGGCUCACACCUGGGAACUGCAUUCGAAACUGGCAGGCUAGAGUCUUGUAGAGGGGGGUAGAAUUCCAGGUGUAGCGGUGAAAUGCGUAGAGAUCUGGAGGAAUACCGGUGGCGAAGGCGGCCCCCUGGACAAAGACUGACGCUCAGGUGCGAAAGCGUGGGGAGCAAACAGGAUUAGAUACCCUGGUAGUCCACGCCGUAAACGAUGUCGACUUGGAGGUUGUGCCCUUGAGGCGUGGCUUCCGGAGCUAACGCGUUAAGUCGACCGCCUGGGGAGUACGGCCGCAAGGUUAAAACUCAAAUGAAUUGACGGGGGCCCGCACAAGCGGUGGAGCAUGUGGUUUAAUUCGAUGCAACGCGAAGAACCUUACCUACUCUUGACAUCCAGAGAACUUUCCAGAGAUGGAUUGGUGCCUUCGGGAACUCUGAGACAGGUGCUGCAUGGCUGUCGUCAGCUCGUGUUGUGAAAUGUUGGGUUAAGUCCCGCAACGAGCGCAACCCUUAUCCUUUGUUGCCAGCGGUUAGGCCGGGAACUCAAAGGAGACUGCCAGUGAUAAACUGGAGGAAGGUGGGGAUGACGUCAAGUCAUCAU
rnacentral:rRNA from 1 species